rnacentral:tRNA from 1 species
GGGGAGAUAGCGAAGUGGCUAAACGCGGUUGACUGUAACUCAACUCUCUACGAGUUCGGCAGUUCGAAUCUGCCUCUCCCCACCA